UUCCGCCUUCGAGCUCCUCUACGGACGACAAGUUCGCGGACAGAUUUCGGCAUUACGCGACUUGUGGAACGUCAAUCGUGUAAAUUAUGUCAUAAUGAAGAAGGACGCACGAAGCUCUAUCAAGCCAUUUGCUUAAGCAAUAUUCGCGCAGAGCGACUGUUUCCUGUGCUUACGCCGGCGACGGAGAGCCAGGCCAGCCUUUGACUCACAGCGAUCUCUUUCUUAACUGGAAAAAUAGUGUUCAUAAAUUUGACGAUCAAUUUGAACUUGGCUGUAGUGAAACCUGUAUUUCUAAUGAAUUUGAGGAGAUUGUAAUUGUAGACACAGGAAACGAGAAGCCUGAAAUAUGUAGUUUGCUUGACGAAACCCAAACUGUUCAGGUAACCCAGAUGCUUGAAGAGUUUGAAAGUGUCCCAUCUUUAGUUUCUGGAUGUAUUAGCUUUCUGAAGCAUGAAAUUAGGUGGACUACGUCAGAACCUGCUCGAUCUAAAGUAUAUUCUGUGUCACUGCAUUUGCGAAAGCAAUUUGACGACGAAGUCCAUAAAUUAUUGCAACUGAAUAUAAUUCAGCCUUCUUCUUCACCUUACAGUUCUCCAUGUGUAUUAGAUAAGAAUCCAGAUAACAGUUAUAGAUUAACAAUUGACUACCGAGCCCUGAACUCUGUCACUCAGUGCGAUGCAGAACCUCCUUGCAACAUGGACGAGGAGCUGCACUAAUUCCAUGGUGCCAAGUAUUUCUCCGAAAUUGUUCUCUGUAAAGCUUACAUCAGAUUCCUCUUUUAUAAAAUUCUAGGCCUCUAACUGCUUUUGACACGUCCAGAGGUCUUAUGGAAUUUAAGACUCCCUUUUGACUUUGACUUUACCGUUGUAUCGUCCAUACACAAGACUCGUGCGUAUAGUUUUGAAUUCAUUGCCUAAUGUGUCAUUCCAUUUUGAUACUAUUUAUGUCUACAGCUAAACCUGGCCUGAACAUGUAGAAACAUUGAAAGCUGUAUUUUCUAGAACCUAAUGCUCAUAAUUUGACAGCGAGACCAUCCAAAGGUCGUAUUGUGGUAAAUAAAACUGAUUAUUUAGGUUAUAAUCUAGGUGAAGGUCAGCUCUGACCACAAGGGAGCAAAAAAUUGAAUCCAUAAUGAGCAUAGCUGUCCCAACAACGAAGAAAUUGCUCUAAUCCUUUCUCGGAAUGAUUUCAUUCUAUCGUCGGUUUAUCAAAGCCUCCAAUUUCACUAGACCUCUUUCAGAUUUGCUGAAAAAAGAUGUGAAGGAACCUCUGCCCUGGCCAAGCGAAGCGAUAUCCUGUUUCGAAGACCUGAACGAGGUGUAAUUUAUUCGGAAGCUGGACUAAAAUUACCGAUACCGACCCAGCCCUUCGUUGUACAUACUGAUGCUUCCAAUAAUUCUGUGGGUUGCGUACUACUUUAAUAUCACGAUGACGUCCCUCACCCAAUAUUCUAUGGUAGCAGGAAACUUUUGGAUAGAGAAAAACGCUACGGAAAAACGGAGGAGGAGGGACAGGAGGAGUUAGUGUAGUUUUUGCUUUUUUUAUGGUGAACAUUAAAUUUCCAAUCAGUAGUUCACUGUGUGCAGAAGAAGAGCUGCGAGAGGCCGAAGUCUCUGCUGCUCGACGCUGCCGGUGAUGACCCUCGCAGCAUGCUAGUAUUAUAUUAUUUUAUGAAGGUCACCGCACAAGCUACGACAGCGCUGUGGCCAUCGCAUCGUCCUCGUCUAACUCUGCGCCAGCCGCGGCCAGCGUCAGCUCCUCUCUCGCCCGUACCGUCAGCAGCGCCCCUCGCUCGCCCCCUCCGAGUAGACAGGUGAUGGGCCCCCUCCAGGACAGUCCAGGUGGGUGAGUCGUUGGCUCUUUUAUUUCAGCCCAAUUUCAUGUUUUCAUGUCUUCCUUCACAACUUCUUUUUACCCAAUCUCAUGUUUUAUGUCCAACUUCUUUCUGCCCACUUCAUGUCUGCCCGCACGUCCCUUAUUAGCCCAUUUGACGGCAUUGUAGCGUAAGUAAAUAGAACCAAUUACUAUAUAGUACAUUUACUCAGGACUACGAAUUUCAGAUUUUGUUGCUGAAAUAUCAAGCUAGAUCCUUGGCCAUCAGACCGCACCCGCUGCCACCAUUAGAGUCCGCGGCCUCCAGAGAGCUUCUAAACAAUCUUCUAGAACAUCAGAACAAUCUUCUAGAAUGUAUGGCCGCCUUGGAGCUAGAACUGUCUAAAUGCAGGAGAUCCACGUUAUGGACG